UAAUACGUAGGGGGCAAGCGUUGUCCGGAAUUAUUGGGCGUAAAGCGCGUGUAGGCGGCUUGGUAAGUCUGGUGUGAAAUCUUGGGGCUCAACCCCAAGCCUGCAUCGGAUACUGCCUGGCUAGAGUCCGGGAGGGGAGAGCGGAAUUCCCAGUGUAGCGGUGAAAUGCGCAGAUAUUGGGAAGAACACCGGUGGCGAAGGCGGCUCUCUGGAACGGUACUGACGCUGAGACGCGAAAGCGUGGGGAGCGAACAGG
rnacentral:rRNA from 1 species